AGCUCACCUUAAAAGUCCCUCAGGGUCGGCAUUGACCAUGGGGAAACUUGAGCAACCCUACACUUACCUGCCAACACGAUUUAGCGGAACAAAGGAAAGGCCAAGCAGACUGGUGGGGAAAUUAAUCUCUCGCUUUUGAAAACCAAAGGGACCGAGUUGAUUUUCUAUUCUACUAUAUUGAUAUUUAUCUGGGUGUGUGGGUUAGUAUCUAAAAACAUAAUUUUUAUCUUCUUCGUUGGGGCCCAUUGCGGUGAGGUAGAGGGAGAGGAGACGGUGACAUACCUGCCGGAGCACGUGGUCGACGUCAACACGAUGAUAGCCGGAGCGAGCGCCGAGACGGUGGCGCUUCGGGUGAAGGGAUGGGUUCGGAACCGAUGGUCGACAGCAUGUCUGGUGGCCGACGGCGUCGCGUCAGAGGGCGGCUGGAUUGACAGUGGUGCUUCACGAGAUGUGCACCGUAAUCACAAGGUGAGGCUCGCGUACCGGAGUAAGGUGGCCCAAGACUUGAUGGUGUUCCGUUCCGGAAGAUUUGUCCGGCUAACUUCACGUUGGAUAGCAAUGGAUCGGGUGUAAAUUCCAAAUGCUACGUUUCGGGUGUGUAAUGGCUGACCCGCGAAUCUGGUUUAGAAGGUCUCCGACCUCUGGAGCACUUGCCAGUCAGAAAAUAGUCCGAACGCUCGAGCACUUGUCAUCUCGAAAAUCGCACAAACUUCGUCACGUGGCCCGUCUUGGAGAUCACCAUCGCAAUACUUUCUCAAGCACUUCUCUCGAACUUCUCGUUCGCUUGCUAUACCGAAAACGACUGCCCCCGAUUCCACCUUCCCGUUUUGCUCCUCAAAUCCUCUCUCCAGAAAACCUUCUCCUCUUCCUUCUUCUUUAAUUAAUAAUUUUAAAUAAAGGAUUGGGUAUUUAGAGGAGAAGGAUUGGCGUUUAAGAAAGAGGUUGGCGUUUUUUUAUAACGGUCGAAAAGGUUCUAGGUCAAAAUGAAAUGAAAUACUUUUGUUUGUCAAACUACCGUUCAAAUAACCCCUGAGGAUUUGUCUCAGGAAAGUCGGGCAAAUUAACAGAUUGGUGGUCUGUCGCUUACGAGAGUGGCGCUAAAGCAACCGAGAGUUUACUCAAAACCUCGGUUGAGUCUGUGAACGGUUACAAUCUAUUAGCGUUUUCGUACAGCUUUGCAUUUUGUUUCUCUUUCGUACAGCUUUACAGUUUUGUUCUCUUCAUCAUGGUUUUUUUUUCUUCCCAACCAAGCUGAAUUAAAUGACCAAGUUUCAGGGAAUUUUGCCGACGAAAAACUCUCAUGACGACGAGAAUAAACCUGCCGAUAAUACCCAACGUAACCCUACAUACAAAUAAGAUAACUUUUUCAGGUUUAACAGUAAGGAGUAAUGAACAUUCGCAGGUAAACAAAUAAAAUUGUUUCUGUGGUAAGAUUAUAGGUAUUUUAAGAUACACUUUAUAAAUAUACACUCAUUUUUUUAUACAUAUUUUUUCUGAGGAUCGUUUAAAUUUGUUUGUGUGGAUUUAUACAAAUGAUUAGUACCAAACAUUUGUUAAACACAGCUUUUAUAAUUACUAUUUUUUUUUUCAUAGGAGAUGCAAAAACAACUUGAUUUUUUUAAAUCGCAAGUUACACUACUGACAAUGAAAACACAACACGACAUAGAUCCGUUGCCUUUGGAUGCUCAACCGAAGUAUGAAAAGUUUCCGCCCAGUCCCGAUUUUAUGAUGACUGACGAUCAAUGCCUUGUGGCACAACAAAUGGAAAGCAAAUACACGGGCUCAUCUGUUUUUGGCAACAAAGUUUAUGGCGUUCAGCCAAAAGAAAUGGAUGAUUCCAGCGAGCAAAGUGUGCUUAGCAAAGAUAAGCUUCUGCAAUUCGAUCAGCCCGGAUUUGAUGAUCAAUUUUAAUUAAUAAAUAGUUCAAACAAUAUAUCGUUAAAAAACAGAGAUUCAAUAAUAUAGAGCCGCGUGUACUUACAUUAA